rnacentral:rRNA from 1 species
UACGAAGGGGGCUAGCGUUGCUCGGAAUCACUGGGCGUAAAGGGUGCGUAGGCGGGUCUUUUAAGUCAGGGGUGAAAUCCUGGAGCUCAACUCCAGAACUGCCUUUGAUACUGAGGAUCUUGAGUUCGGGAGAGGUGAGUGGAACUGCGAGUGUAGAGGUGAAAUUCGUAGAUAUUUCGCAAGAACACCAGUGGCGAAGGCGGCUCACUGGCCCGAUGCUGACGCUGAGGUGCGAAAGCGUGGGGAGCAAAACGGGAUUAAGAA